UAGCCGUCUAAAUAGCUAGGUGCUCAGAUCAUAGUAUCGACUUGAGAUAAUCGGGAAGUUAGUGACGUAACCUAAAACUUAAAGCAACCUUCAUAAUAGAGUCAUCUAUUUUGAACCUUGUUAUUAGGUUAAGUAAUCUAACGCUGCCCCCGCAACGGUAAUUGCAAUCAUUGCAUAAGCCCGGAGACCGGCCUAACUAUCAACCAUAAG
rnacentral:ncRNA from 1 species